AAAUAAGAAGCAUAUUAAUGCGUUUAAUUUCGACUUAAAAAAUAGAGUAAAUUUUCUACUCCUUAUUUA
rnacentral:tRNA from 1 species